GCUUUGUUCCCCAAUAGCUCACAUCGACGGGAAGGUUUGGCACCUCAAUGUCGGCUCUUCGCCACCUGGGGCUGUAGUAUGUUCCAAGGUUUGGGUUGUUCGCCCAUUAAAGCGGUACGUGAGCUAGGUUUAGAACAUCGUGAGACAGUUC
rfam:Gossypium raimondii Chr05_contig_1072, whole genome shotgun sequence.